UUUAGCAGUAAGUUACCUUACCCUACUUUAUGUGAGAAAUAGGAUUGAUUUUUUCUUUUUUGCCUUUUUUAGAUGUCUUUGUUGAGAUUACUAUGCAUCUUUACUUUCUUUUUAUAGGAUAUAUUUUUUAAAUAUGGCAAAAGGUCUUAGAAAUAAAAUAAUGAGUUUGUAUUAAAUGAAACUGAAACCCAGGGUUCAUACAUUAUGUACCCAGGGUUAGUCAUGGCUUAUUUGUGGCCAAAUGCAGAGAUAAGGAUUCUGGUCUGUUCUGAUCCAGGGCCUCAGCAUGUCACCAUCACAUUACUUUAUAAACUUUUUAGCCAUGGAACGCAGAUUUCAGAUGAGAUUUCAGGUAACCCCUCCAAAGCAGAAAGAAAAGCAAAGCUCCUUUUGUUAGAGAUGGGGGCAUGGAGACAUGUCUACAUAGACUCCCUGAGAUUCUGCACUGGAAUGUACUUCUUCUCAGUAUAGUUCACAACACAGAUAAAAUGUGUGGCUGGCCCCUUUCUCAUUCCCAGCCAUGUCCUUAUUAGCACAACAAAGUAACCCUGGUCUGGUUCUACUUUUCCGGAGCAUUUCUGUGCCCUAUAUCUGAAAGAGAAUAUAAAUGGAAAAGUUGGGGGAUGCCUGGGUGGCUCAGUGGUUGAGCAUCUGCCUUCGGCUCAGGGUGAGUCCUGGAGUCCUGGGAUCCAGUCCCACAUUGGGCUCCCAGCAUGGAGCCUGCUUCUCCCUCUGCCUCUGUCUCUCCCUGCCUCUCCCCAUGUGUGUCUCUCAUGAAUGAAUAAAUAAAAUCUUUAAAAAAAAAAAAAAAAAGGAAAAGUUGGGAGAGGUGAGUUGAUCCAGUCUGGGAGUCAUAACAGUAAAGUUAACGUCACGUCUUCCCUGUUGACUCUGGAACAUUCUCACUCUGUGUCAAGAGGAAGCAGCACAGCAGAUCUGCCUAUGAGAGUCCACUGAUCUUGAGGUUGACUCCUUGGAUUAAGUGGGAGUGUGCUGUCACAUUUCCUUUAAUUUGCUGCAAGAAUUCAUCCUGAAGCCAUGUGCUCAUUUGCAGAUGUUUUCUUUCCUCAAAAAGUGGUAAAGUGACCUAUGGAAUUAGAACCACCAAAGUACCAAAUGCUAAGUAUCCACUAAGUGCUUAGUAGCUGGUGACUUUGGGCAAUUCACUUCACUUUACUGUGUUUGCUUAUAAAAUAUGGGUAGUAAUAAUAUCUAUCUCAUAGUUGUGAUGAAGAUUACAUAAUAUAAGUAAAGCAUUUGGAAUAGUGUUUGGCUGAUAGUAAAUACUAUUAUGAAUGUUAGCUGCAGCUCUUAUUCUUAAAUGUAGGUCAUAUAAAUUUUAAUCAUUAAUAGGAUACCGAUUCAAAAAAUUUUAAACACUUAAAUAUUCCAACCUAGUGUUAGCUAAAAUAUGAAUUAACUAAUUUUAUUGGCAGAGAGAAUCAAGCCUAAUAGUGGUAAAUCCCAGCUAGCUAGCUUUGCAUGAUCGUAAUGUUGAUAACAUUGUUUAAAGUGUAUAUUUGUAAAACUUUCCCCCCAAAAAAAGCUUUCUUAAAAUAAUACAAAGCCAAAAACAUAGUACAAAUUGGAUUGUUAAGGCCCUAGAGAAAUGUUCACUUUUACCUAAUCAUUAUGUAUGAUCUUAUUUUCAUAGGUAAGAAAAGCUGCACCAAGUGGUCAAACAACAUUUCCUAGAAAACUCCUUAACCAUUGAUACUUAAAUACAGUUUUCUGCUUGCACUUUGGUGAAAAUCUCUGCAGAGAAAGUCUGUUUACUUAGGCAAUUAUCUGCUGAAGAACAGGAAUGUCCCUGAUAAGUGCAUUUUUGUUUUUAGGAGUUGGUGCCACUUUCAGAAUAAAGUGGAGCCGUUUUCAGCUCCUGUAACAGUCAGGAUUCCAGAGCCUUUUCUUUAGAGUUAAGGUCUUCUUUACCUACUAGCACCUUUGUCUCUGUCUUUAUUACACCCAGAUAUUUGCUAAAUAAAUAAUUCACAUUUGAAAAGCUUUAUGGUUAUUACAUAUAAUGUUUAAAUAAAAUGCUGUGGGUUUUCUUAUCAUUGACAAACUUUGAACUAAAAUCUGAUGUUUCUAUAGAACACCAUUUAUGAUGAGUUUGCAUAAUAAUUGUGCAUGAACACAUAAGUCAAAAGGCCUAUGUGAAGAAUAGUAGCCAAACUGUGGAAAUAUUAGACCCAAAGAACCACAGGGGAAAGGUUAAUUGCUAAACAAGCCAGAAGUUAUAAAUUGGCAUUUGUUUUUAAAUGGGGACUUGGGGAGAGGAGAGAUGGCUUUGUAACCUCACUGGGCCAGGGUGUUGUAUUUGACAGUUCAUUUCUGAGUCCAGGAAUUAUAGCAAGAAAGGUUUCUUGGAGGAAAUGCCAUCAAAGCUCUGAGACAUGGCACAGGAGAGGCAGGUAGGUAAGCAAGAGGGUAGAGGUGAAAAGGAGGUUUAGGCUACUAAAAAACAAACAAACAAACAAAAAAACAAAAA
rnacentral:lncRNA from 1 species